rnacentral:rRNA from 3 species
UCUCCUGGAAACGGGUGGUAAUGCCGGAUGCUCCAGUUGAUCGCAUGGUCUUCUGGGAAAGCUUUCGCGGUAUGGGAUGGGGUCGCGUCCUAUCAGCUUGACGGCGGGGUAACGGCCCACCGUGGCUUCGACGGGUAGCCGGCCUGAGAGGGCGACCGGCCACAUUGGGACUGAGAUACGGCCCAGACUCCUACGGGAGGCAGCAGUGGGGAAUAUUGCACAAUGGGCGCAAGCCUGAUGCAGCGACGCCGCGUGAGGGAUGGAGGCCUUCGGGUUGUAAACCUCUUUUAUCGGGGAGCAAGCGAGAGUGAGUUUACCCGUUGAAUAAGCACCGGCUAACUACGUGCCAGCAGCCGCGGUAAUACGUAGGGUGCAAGCGUUAUCCGGAAUUAUUGGGCGUAAAGGGCUCGUAGGCGGUUCGUCGCGUCCGGUGUGAAAGUCCAUCGCUUAACGGUGGAUCCGCGCCGGGUACGGGCGGGCUUGAGUGCGGUAGGGGAGACUGGAAUUCCCGGUGUAACGGUGGAAUGUGUAGAUA